rnacentral:rRNA from 1 species
GCUUAACACAUGCAAGUCGAGGGGCAGCAUGGUCUUAGCUUGCUAAGGCCGAUGGCGACCGGCGCACGGGUGAGUAACACGUAUCCAACCUGCCGUCUACUCUUGGACAGCCUUCUGAAAGGAAGAUUAAUACAAGAUGGCAUCAUGAGUCCACAUGUUCACAUGAUUAAAGGUAUUCCGGUAGACGAUGGGGAUGCGUUCCAUUAGAUAGUAGGCGGGGUAACGGCCCACCUAGUCUUCGAUGGAUAGGGGUUCUGAGAGGAAGGUCCCCCACAUUGGAACUGAGACACGGUCCAAACUCCUACGGGAGGCAGCAGUGAGGAAUAUUGGUCAAUGGGCGAGAGCCUGAACCAGCCAAGUAGCGUGAAGGAUGACUGCCCUAUGGGUUGUAAACUUCUUUUAUAAAGGAAUAAAGUCGGGUAUGCAUACCCGUUUGCAUGUACUUUAUGAAUAAGGAUCGGCUAACUCCGUGCCAGCAGCCGCGGUAAUACGGAGGAUCCGAGCGUUAUCCGGAUUUAUUGGGUUUAAAGGGAGCGUAGAUGGAUGUUUAAGUCAGUUGUGAAAGUUUGCGGCUCAACCGUAAAAUUGCAGUUGAUACUGGAUAUCUUGAGUGCAGUUGAGGCAGGCGGAAUUCGUGGUGUAGCGGUGAAAUGCUUAGAUAUCACGAAGAACUCCGAUUGCGAAGGCAGCCUGCUAAGCUGCAACUGACAUUGAGGCUCGAAGGUGUGGGUAUCAAACAGGAUUAGAUACCCUGGUAGUCCACACGGUAAAAGGAUGAAUACUCGCUGUUUGCGGAUAUACGGCAAGCGGCCAAGCGAAAGCGUUAAGUAUUCCACCUGGGGAGUACGCCGGCAGCGGUGGAAACUCAAAGGAAUUGACGGGGGCCCGCACAAGCGGAGGAACAUGUGGUUUAAUUCGAUGAUACGCGAGGAACCUUACCCGGGCUUAAAUUGCAGAUGAAUUACGGUGAAAGCCGUAAGCCGCAAGGCAUCUGUGAAGGUGCUGCAUGGUUGUCGUCAGCUCGUGCCGUGAGGUGUCGGCUUAAGUGCCAUAACGAGCGCAACCCUUGUUGUCAGUUACUAACAGGUUCCGCUGAGGACUCUGACAAGACUGCCAUCGUAAGAUGUGAGGAAGGUGGGGAUGACGUCAAAUCAGCACGGCCCUUACGUCCGGGGCUACACACGUGUUACAAUGGGGGGUACAGAGGGCCGCUACCACGCGAGUGGAUGCCAAUCCCCAAAACCUCUCUCAGUUCGGACUGGAGUCUGCAACCCGACUCCACGAAGCUGGAUUCGCUAGUAAUCGCGCAUCAGCCACGGCGCGGUGAAUACGUUCCCGGGCCUUGUACACACCGCCCGUCAAGCCAUGGGAGCCGGGGGUACCUGAAGUGCGUAACCGCGAGGAGCGCCCUAGGGUAAAACUGGUGACUGGGGCUAAGU